UGUUUUUACUAUCCUCUGCAGGUAGCUUCUACCGAGGUACAAGUGUCCAAAUGGCUAAGAUUUCAGCACAUAAUCUUUAUAUAAAACAAACCAUACUUACAUUACCUUCAUUCAAUCAAAAGAACUGAUUUCUGUUUUAGCUUCAGGUACGUAUAGUUACUCUAUUCCUCUCUGCAAUUUACUUCAGGUUGCAGAAUAUGGCAGGAGAAAAGCUUUCUUUUUCUGUUACUAUUUCAAAUUCAACACUGUCCUUUGCCCAGCAAACGCUACAAGAAGAAGAGUUGCAGCUAAACUCUUUAUGAAGAUUUUCCAGGGGAAUCAACAAAUAGAUAACUGCUAUGGUCGAGGAUCUACUUUUUUAUGGAUUCAACCUUUAAAAUGUGCAUUAGGCAGCUUCUGUGGCAAUUGCAACUUGGUGAGCAUGUUAUGAUCAUUUUCCUUUGUGUGAGGCCCAAGCCAACACUUUUUGGAGAGUCCCUCUACAUCACAAUUAGUGUAUUAACCUGAACAAAUGAAUAAUGAUCGGAUGGUUAAAUUCUUUUCUGGUUUACUUGGAGUUCUUCACUCAUAGUCCUUCAACUUUGAGGUGUGAUUGCAAUCCGAGCUCUCUAGCCAAAAAGUUCGUAAGCAACAGUCGCCUAUUGUAUCAUUGAUUUCACCAUUUAGUUUAUGCCUUUAUGUUCUUGUACAAGAGUUCUGCAUGUAUGCUUAGGAGUGCUUGUAAGUUUUGAGACUUGUUUGUAGCUUUGAUUUGGAAAAUAGUGAAAAUUUUUACCUUCCCGUGGUUUUUUUUU